GCAGGUGCAGUGGAUGGAUGAAUACAGAGUUCCAGAGAGCGGCAGAGACCAGACCAAGUCCCAGAACGACACACUAUUCCCGGACAGUGAUGGCAGAACAGCAGGUGCAGUGGAUGGAUGAAUAAAGAGCUCCAGAGAGCGGCAGAGACCAGACCAAGUCCCAGAACGACACACUAUUCCCGGACAGUGAUGGCAGACCAGCAGGUGUACCGCAUGGAUGAAUAAAGAGCUCCAGAGAGCGGCAGAUACCAGACCAAGUCCCAGAACGACACACUAUUCCCGGACAGUGAUGGCAGACCAGCAGGUGUACCGCAUGGAUGAAUAAAGAGCUCCAGAGAGCGGCAGAGACCAGACCAAGUCCCAGAACGACACACUAUUCCCGGACAGUGAUGGCAGAACAGCAGGUGUACCCGCAUGGAUGAAUACAGAGUUCCAGAGAGCGGCAGAACCCAGACCAUGUCCCAGUACGGGACACUAUUCUCGGAUGCUGAUGUCAGAACAGCAGGUGCAGUGGAUGGAUGAAUUAAACAGUUCCAGAGAGCGUGAGAUCCCGGCUGAUAUCCGAUGAAGAAGCGCUAUUGUCGGACACUGAUGGCAGAACAGCAGGUGCAGCGGAUGGAUGAAAUAAACAGUUCCAUGGAGCGGUAUUUCCCGACAGAUAUCCGAUGACGAAGGACCACUUGGGACGCUUUGAAGGAAGGGUCGGUCUCCUGGAUGAAAAGGACUUUAAUUUUCUGACUUAAAAAAAAAGUUAAAGUUUCCAGUCGGGACGAUAAGGAGGGCAAAAAAACCCGGACUUUUUUGGCUCCGUCAGAAACUAAGUAAAAGUCGGACUAUGUG
ensembl:lncRNA